GUUAGCGUGGCAGAACCAGGAAAAUGCAAGAGGCCUAAAAUCUCUAAACUAGACGUUCAAAUCGUCUCGCCAACA
rnacentral:tRNA from 1 species